CUGCAGGCCAAUUAUUGAAAUUUUAGAUCAGCGUUACAAGACAUUGAUUUCCGAUAAGCGGUUAAGAUAGGGCUCUGUCUUGUCUCAUCGAUCGACAUAUACAUUCAAAACUCAACCCCUGACAGGUCUUAAAUCAGUGUCACGCCAUUGAUACAUUUAUAAUGAUUUCCUCUGAUUUAAAUGAAUUUUUCUGUCUUUUUCAGGAGCAAGUGAUGCAUCUAGUAGAAAGAGAAAUUAAAAAUAACUCAUUUGCAAAGGUAUCGUACUAGAUGGAUUCCCCCGAGAUCUAAAGCAGUUAGAACAGUUUCCAAAUCAAGUUCAAGCAAAAGCCGACUUUAAUAUUGUUGGAUUGCUCAAAACUUCAGCUGGCGCGAGGACGCUUAGACGAUACUGUGGCAGCUUUCGGAAACGACUCGAGCUUUUUCGAGAACACACUCUACCAUUGCUCAACAUUUGGAUGAUGACCAUAGAAUGAAUAUUGUCGAUGGCGAUACGGACUUAUCUGAGGUCCAGGACAUUUUUUCGGAGAUCCUCCUGAAAGGAUAAACGAAAUCCAGUCUCAAGGCGAGAGAGGGGGCGCCGUCUCGCCGGUCGCGAGAGGAGGGAGGACCCAAACGGUGGUCGACGUCCACGGCGAUGCCUUCGGAGAACCUAUCUCACCCCCACGAUCCCCCCCAAAGUUUCAAAUGAACGGCUACGGCCCCCCUAG
rnacentral:lncRNA from 1 species